AUUGAACGCUGGCGGCAUGCUUUACACAUGCAAGUCGAACGGUAACAGGCCUUCGGGUGCUGACGAGUGGCGAACGGGUGAGUAAUGCAUCGGAACGUACCCAGAGGUGGGGGAUAACGCAGCGAAAGCUGUGCUAAUACCGCAUGUGAUCUGAGGAUGAAAGCGGGGGACCGAGCAGCAAUGUUUGGCCUCGCGCCUUUGGAGCGGCCGAUGUCGGAUUAGCUAGUUGGUGGGGUAAAGGCCUACCAAGGCGACGAUCCGUAGCUGGUCUGAGAGGACGACCUGCCACACUGGGACUGAGACACGGCCCAGACUCCUACGGGAGGCAGCAGUGGGGAAUUUUGGACAAUGGGCGCAAGCCUGAUCCAGCAAUGCCGCGUGCGGGAAGAAGGCCUUCGGGUUGUAAACCGCUUUUGGCAGGAACGAAACGGUGUCCGCUAAUACCGGGCGCUAAUGACGGUACCUGCAGAAUAAGCACCGGCUAACUACGUG
rnacentral:rRNA from 1 species